rnacentral:sRNA from 1 species
AGCAGCCGCGGUAAUUCCAGCUCCAAUAGCGUAUAUUAAAGUUGUUGCAGUUAAAAAGCUCGUAGUUGAAUUUCGAGGUCAAAUUGUCGGUCGUGCCUCGGUACGUACUGGCAUUAUUGAUUUCUCCCUUCUGACGAUCCGCGAUGUCAUUAAUUUGGUGUCGUGGGGAAUCAGGACUGUUACUUUGAAAAAAUUAGAGUGUUUAAAGCAGGCUCACGCUUGAAUACAUUAGCAUGGAAUAAUGAAAUAGGACGUUUGAUUCUAUUUUGUUGGUUUCUAGGAUCAACGUAAUGAUUAAUAGGGAUAGUUGGGGGCAUUAGUAUUCAAUUGUCAGAGGUGAAAUUCUUGGAUUUAUUGAAGACUAACUACUGCGAAAGCAUUUGCCAAGGAUGUUUUCAUUAAUCUAAGAACGAAAGUUAGGGGAUCGAAGACGAUCAGAUACCGUCGUAGUCUUAACCAUAAACUAUGCCGACUAGGGAUCGGAU